AGACCCGUAGCAUAGAGGUUAGCGCGCUCGCCUUCCAACCGAGAGGACCCGGGUUCAAUUCCCGGGCGGGUCAA